rnacentral:lncRNA from 1 species
GGCUAAAGUCCUCAAAUUAGUAACUGAAGUAAUCAACAUUGCUGCGUAUUUAGGAUCAAAAGAGUUUUUGAAUAACGAAUAGAAUUAUGAAAUCCUAAUGGGCUUAUUGAACAAACUACUUGGAUCCCCAGACACGGAACAAAAAAACCAGCAGAAGGAGAUUUUCACCUUGUCUUCUGUGGCAAAAUAGACUGAACUACCGUCAUCUAUAUUUAAGUAUCUUGGAAAAAGGAUCAAACACCUUAACAGCAGAGAGCGUAAUGUCAAUGAGAUCUACACGGCAGAAAGAGUUGAGUUUGUUAGAGGUAAGUUAUUGGACUUCGAGAACAACCACACAACUAAAAUGGCCCUUACAUUUAUGAUCAAAUCUGUCGGAGGACUUAACUUAUACUAGUUAAAUUCAACGUUGAAUUCCUCUACAGCAAAUAUACUCUAAUUAUGAAAACCUUCUAUCAAAUCGGAUUUAUCGUUGUGGGCGUAUUAGUCAACAGGAAGUUCUUCACUCAUUUUCUUUGUAGUGGUGAACUUCAAACUUCAAUUACUCACCCAUACAACAUCAAUAGAAAGUUCAUCUCAUCUUAUAAAAAUAUUUACGAUUGUUUCCAAAGGCAAGAACACUUCAGCAUUCCUCUGAACAGUCUAGGAUUUAAAUCAUCAUUACACCCUAACUUUGCUCAUAUCAAACAUAACCACCAUAAAGAGUCAAGAAAGAGCUCAGAAACUACAAUUGAAGUAAUAGUUGAUGUUGUUUGUGAUCAAGGUCACAAAUCCUCUUCAACGUGAUGGAUAAAAAAAAAUGGGUCCUCAACUCCAUGACAACAUCUGAUCAUCUAAAAACAAGCUCAAAUAUAGAAAGGUUGGCAAACUUCAAACUUAUAAUGUUUAAUGGAUUAACAUCAAUGUUUUUGGUGUGCAUCUAUUUUUUAAAUACUUAAUGUAACUUAUGUUGGGAAUAUAUUGCAGCUUAUUCAGUCUUGAAUUCUUAUUAAUUGCCCUAUUAUGAAUAAAUAUUUAUAGAUAUUUUAACU